rnacentral:rRNA from 1 species
UAAGACGAACCGUCCAAACGUUAUUCGGAAUCACUGGGCUUAAAGGGCGCGUAGGCGGCCGAGCGGGUCGCGGGUGAAAUCCUCCAGCUUAACUGGAGAACUGCCCUCGAUACCACUGCGGCUCGAGGAAGGAAGGGGUCAUGGGAACUGUCGGUGGAGCGGUGAAAUGCGUUGAUAUCGACAGGAACGCCGGUGGCGAAAGCGCAUGACUGGUCCUUUUCUGACGCUGAGGCGCGAAAGCCAGGGGAGCAAACGGGAUUAGAUACCCCGGUAGUCCUGGCCUUAAACGAUGAGAACUAGGUAGUGGGUCCGACCUGGGCACACUGCCGAAGCGAAAGUUUUAAGUUCUCCGCCUGGGGAGUAUGGUCGCAAGGCUG